GACGAACGCUGGCGGCGUGCUUAACACAUGCAAGUCGAACGGAAAGGCCCUGCUUGCAGGGUACUCGCGUGGCGAACGGGUGAGUAACACGCGGGUGAUCUGCCCUGCACUUAGGGAUAAGCCUGGGAGACUGGGUCGAAUACCGGAUAGAAGCCAUUUUUAGUGUGAUGGUUGGAAAGUUUUUUCGGUGUAGGCUGAGCUCGCGGCCUAUCAGCUUGUUGGUGGGGUAAUGGCCUACCAAGGCGGCGUCGGGUAGCCGGCCUGAGAGGGUGGACGGCCACAUUGGGACUGAGGGACGGCCCAGGCUCCGACGGGAGGCAGAAGGGGGGAAGAUUGCACAAGGGGCGCAAGCCUGAUGCAGCGAGGCCGCGGGGGGGAUGACGGCCUUCGGGUUGUAAAAUCCUUUCGCUAGGGACGAAGCUUUUUGUGACGGUACCUAGAUAAGAAGCACCGGCUAACUACGUG
rnacentral:rRNA from 1 species